CGACGUCGGGUGUGCAUACGAAGUAGAGGGCCUGCACUUCCAGGCCUCUGUGAGAGUCUAUUUUAGAUUUUUAAAGAUUUGAUCUCCUAUUCCACUGCUAUCCAGACAAAGAUUUGAUCUUUAUUCUUAUAGAUUAAUAAAAUUUUUUUUGAUGCAACCUGGGCUAUCCGAAGAGAAAUAAUUUUCCUUCCCUUCAGUUGCUUUACAAUACUUCUACCUAUCCGGAUGUCAGGUCAUCAUUGUUAGAUGGUUACAUCAAUUGGU
rnacentral:lncRNA from 1 species